AUGAACCGUGCUAGUGGAGAUAUGUUCAGACGCAGGCUGAAUAUAGACCUAUGUUAUCAAUUCGAUGAGGUCAAAAAAAUUGUUGACAACAUUGACACUUCGGCUGGUCCAGAUAAGAUUGUGUGGGCUGCUGGACCCAAAGGCAAAUACACCACUAAAUCCAUGUAUUCUUAUCUGGAGAGAGAUCUUGCUGGCUGUGACUAUAAAUGGAUUUGGAGGGCCGGAUUACCUACCAAAAUCCAGUUUUUCCUUUGGCAGCUUUUCCAGGAUGCUGUCCUAACUAGGGAUGUUAUGAAGCGUCGAAACUGGGUUGGCAACCCCAGUUGUUCUUUCUGCGAUUGCAGAGAAACAUAUCUGCAUUUAUUCUUUCUCUGUCCAGUGGCAAGGGUAGCCUGGCGUACUGUGGGGGCGAUGCUUGGGACCGACUUAUGUCCCAACAAUUUGUGCCAGUUUUACUCUUGGUGCUAUGCAUUUCUUCCUCAAGGGGAACGAUAUUUCACUGCGGGGCUGGCGGCUAUAUGCUGGGCUAUUUGGAAUCGUAGAAACCAGGCUACUUUUGAAUUCAAAAAAUUGUCAUCUUCUUUCGAGAUUGUUUUCAAUGCUUGUAUGCACUUGUCUUAUUGGGCGGGUCUUCUGAAGGGCGAAAGGCGAAUGGAGCUGGAGCGUGGUGCGAUGAUUCUGAAGGAGAACGCUAAAGAGAUGAUGAGACUCUGCGCGACUGCACACGCGGGUGACGCCGUGGAGUGA
rnacentral:rRNA from 1 species